rnacentral:misc_RNA from 1 species
UCCCACUCACCACACGCUCUCGCUCGCUCAAGUGCUACUCCUCGCUCUCUGCAGUCUGCCAGUGACCCGCGCGCCCGCCCCGCCCGCUGGCUGCGCCCUCUCCGUACUCUUCACCGCCUCGUUCCGACGCGUCCAAGAGGCUCGUUGGGCGUUCUUGAGGGAUCAGGCGGACGCGCGAAGGACUUGCUGAAGAGCUGAGGGACUGAGUUUCUGAAGAAAGUGAGGAGGACGAGUAGGCCAGCGGACACGCGCACGAAGCCGAACGAACCCACUUGAGCUUGAGCAGGGCGGCCAGCGAAUGGAGCCUCCGCUCGGGGAGCUAGACAGAACGAGCGCGCCUCCAGGCGGCCAUACGAGGUCUUUACACGCCUGCUACUCGACUCGCGACCCGCCACAGCGGGAGUGAGGCGUUUUCAAGACCGACUUCACCCCUUCUCCUCCUCUUCACCUUUGACAUUCGCUCGCUCUACAUUGAGGGCCUCGCUCGCUUGCCUACUAGCUCAUC